rnacentral:rRNA from 1 species
UGCAGCGACGCCGCGUGAGGGAUGACGGCCUUCGGGUUGUAAACCUCUUUCAGCAGGGAAGAAGCGAAAGUGACGGUACCUGCAGAAGAAGCACCGGCUAACUACGUGCCAGCAGCCGCGGUAAUACGUAGGGUGCGAGCGUUGUCCGGAAUUAUUGGGCGUAAAGAGCUUGUAGGCGGUUUGUCGCGUCUGCCGUGAAAAUUCGAGGCUCAACCUCGAACUUGCGGUGGGUACGGGCAGACUAGAGUGUGGUAGGGGAGACUGGAAUUCCUGGUGUAGCGGUGAAAUGCGCAGAUAUCAGGAGGAACACCGAUGGCGAAGGCAGGUCUCUGGGCCACUACUGACGCUGAGAAGCGAAAGCAUGGGGAGCGAACAGGAUUAGAUACCCUGGUAGUCCAUGCCGUAAACGUUGGGAACUAGGUGUGGGUCUCAUUCCACGAGAUCCGUGCCGCAGCUAACGCAUUAAGUUCCCCGCCUGGGGAGUACGGCCGCAAGGCUAAAACUCAAAGGAAUUGACGGGGGCCCGCACAAGCGGCGGAGCAUGCGGAUUAAUUCGAUGCAACGCGAAGAACCUUACCAAGGCUUGACAUAUGCGAGAACGCUGCAGAGAUGCAGAACUCUUUGGACAC